ensembl:lncRNA
UUUUAAGGCUAGUGAAAUAAUCCUCCUCCUUUCAGAGGAGGGCCACAGAUAAAUGAUCUGAGAUGGAAUAUCCCUAGGAAGACAGGCUGAGAGAGCUCGAUUUGUUCAACCUGGAGGAGAGAAGGCUCCAGGGAGACCUUUCAGUGGCCUUUCAGUAUCUAAAGGGCUACCAAAAAGACCCUCAAUUUUAGAGAGCCACUGUCCUCACUAUUUAGUUGAACAAGUGGGAAAAGUUUCAUGGAUGGGCAGCAGAGGGGCAGUCUGACAGAAUGACCUCUGAUACAGAAGCACGGAUGAAGCAAAGGAGUGUCACUGAAUUCCUCCAUGAGGAAGAAAAGGGAAAAGAAAAGAUUAAAGCAGACCUUUGACAGGCAGUGGAGAGAGAAAUACAGAGAGAGAAGAGUCUGACCCUCUCCUCACUACAGCCUCCUUUCAGGUAGUUUUAGGGAGAGAUAAGUUCUCCCUUGGGCCUCAUUCUCUCCAGACCAUGAGGUAAGAAAAUUGCAAGAGAGAAAAUGUACUUUGGAAAACAAUUACUGCUGCAGGCUAGAAAGUAUCAGCACAAUGUGAAUGUACUGCAGAUUUCUUUCCCUGACUGAAUUUUGAUCUGUUUCCAGUAUUUCAUAUUCCUCCAGACCACAUAUUAGAGAAGAGAGAGAAGAAGCAAACAAGCAAACAAAAGAAAUCCCUACACCAGUUGGUGUGAAAAUGAGGUUGGAUAUUAAUCUACUUGAAUGUUUCAUAAAACCUAAUGCCAGAUAGGAUUUAAUAUUUUUAAACAUCUGGAAUUAAUAUCUCUGUAAAAUUUCAGUUUAUUCUUAAAAAAUG